UAUCUCUGUAGAGUCUGCAUAUCAAUAAGCGGAGGAAAAGAAACUAACUAGGAUUCCCUCAGUGACGGCGAGUGAAGCGGGAAGAGCUCAAAUUUGAAAUCUUCAAGGUUCUACCUUGACGAACUGUAGUUUAAAGAAGUGUUUUCUGUUGGAGUUUUGGUAAAAGUUCUUCGGAAUAGGACAUCAUAGAGGGUGAGAAUCCCGUAUUUGACCAUUAUUUCCAGCUUUGUGAUACACUUUCAAAGAGUCGGAUUGUUUGGGAAUGCAGUCCAAAAUGGGUGGUAAAUUUCAUCUAAAGCUAAAUAUUGGCGAGAGACCGAUAGCGAACAAGUACCGUGAGGGAAAGAUGAAAAGAACUUUGAAAAGAGAGUUAAACAGUACGUGAAAUUGUCAAAAGGGAAGCGUUUGACACCAGUGUUGUUUUCUCGAAAAUCAAUUAAAAAAGGCAGGAUUUUGUGUUGUAUUGACUUUAUCAGCUUUCUGCACUCUUUUCUUGUCUUUUUUUAAUGCACUUUUCGUUUAACAAGUCAACAUCAAUUUCUUUUGUUGUAAAAGGGUCAUUGGAAGGUGGCUUUCUUUUCGGAGAAAGUGUUUAUAGCCUUUGGCCUCUGCAAUCGGAGAGAUUGAGGUCUGCAGCGUAGAUCCUUCGGGGUUAGAUACAUUUGUGCUAAGUUAUAGCCUUUCAUAGACAACUUGUUGACUAUGAUCAGUCAUGUAGCUUACUCGCUUAUGCUAUUUUACCUACGCUUAGGAUGUUGAAGAUGUAGCACAUCAU
rnacentral:rRNA from 1 species